CACAAGCGGCGGAGCAUGUGGAUUAAUUCGAUGCAACGCGAAGAACCUUACCUGGGCUUGACAUACACCAGAUCGGCGCAGAGAUGCGUUUUCCCUUGUGGUUGGUGUACAGGUGGUGCAUGGUUGUCGUCAGCUCGUGUCGUGAGAUGUUGGGUUAAGUCCCGCAACGAGCGCAACCCUUGUCUUAUGUUGCCAGCACGUGAUGGUGGGGACUCAUGAGAGACUGCCGGGGUUAACUCGGAGGAAGGUGGGGAUGACGUCAAAUCAUCAUGCCCCUUAUGUCCAGGGCUUCACACAUGCUACAAUGGUCGGUACAACGCGUGUGCGACACUGUGAGGUGAAGCUAAUCGCUCUAAAGCCGGUCGUAGUUCGGAUUGGGGUCUGCAACUCGACCCCAUGAAGUCGGAGUCGCUAGUAAUCGCAGAUCAGCAACGCUGCGGUGAAUACGUUCCCGGGCCUU
rnacentral:rRNA from 1 species